rnacentral:rRNA from 1 species
UAAAAAGCGCGAAAAGUGCAUAUGGUGGAUGCCUUGGCGCAAAAUGCCGAUGAAGGACGUGGUAGUCUGCGAUAAGCCUCGGGGAGCUGACAAACAAGCAUUAUAUCCGGGGAUUUCCGAAUGGGGAAACCUGGCUGGAUUAAUAUCCAGCUAUCCUGCUAUGAAUUCAUAGUAGCAGGAGGGGCACCUGGGGAAGUGAAACCUCUCAGUACCCAGUGGAAAAGAAAAAACAUGUCGCCAGCUUAUAGUACAUCAUUAGUGUAUUGUAAGCUGGCGACACAUUCCCUUAGUAGUGGCGAACGAAAGGGGAACAGCCCAAACCUGAUUCGUGUAAGAAUGAUCGGAUCCUUGAUUCGCGUUGCGAUGAUGGGUGAAGUGAUUUCGUAGGUUGCAGCCCGUGCGAGUCAGGUGUUGUAAGAGUUAGAGGUCCAAACUGCAAAUUGGACGAAAGGUUACAAAACGUGUGUCUAGUAGAACAGUCCUGGAAAGGCUGGCCAUAGAGGGUGAUAGCCCCGUAUAUGUAAGGCAUACGACCUUUUCUAAUUUCUUGAGUACCGCGGGUCACGUGAAACCCUGCGGGAACCUGUCAGGACCACCUGAUAAGGCUAAAUACAUUUUGCGACCGAUAGUGAACAAGUUCCGUGAGGGAAAGGUGAAAAGAACCCCGGGACGGGGAGUGAAAUAGAACUGAAACCAUAUGCUUACAAACAGUCGGAGCCUCAGCUUGCUGGGGUGACGGCGUGCCUAUUGAAGAAUGAGUCAGCGAGUUAAUAUGUGCUGCAAGGUUAACCGGUUUAGGCUGGGGAGCCGAAGCGAAAGCGAGUUCGAAUAGAGCAACUUGAGUAGCAUAUAUUAGACCCGAAGCCAGGUGAUCUAUCCUUGGACAGGGUGAAGUCUGUGGAAACACGGGCGGAGGCCCGAACUCGUUAGAGUUACAAAUCUAUGAGAUGAUCUGAGGAUAGCGGUAAUAUGCCAAACGAACCUGGUAAUAGCUGGUUCUCCCCGAAAUAGCUUUAGGGCUAGCCUUAAAACUUAAGUACUGGGGGUAGAGCACUGAUUGGAUCGAAGGGCCGAGAGGUUACUUCAUUCAGUCAAACUCCGAAUACCAGUAUGUAUGUUUUGGGAGUCAGAACUAGGGAGCUAAGUUCCUAUGUUCUAGAGGGAAACAGUCCGGAUCAAUUGUUAAGGUCCCCAAAUGUAACCUAAGUGGAAAAGGAAGUAAGGUUUCUUAGACAGCUAGGAGGUUGGCUUAGAGGCAGCCAUCCUUUAAAGAGUGCGUAACAGCUCACUAGUCAAGAGAUCUUGCGCCGAAAAUACAACGGGGCUCAAGGUUACUACCGAAACAUUGAAUCUCAUGCUUUCUUCGGAAAGUAUGGGGUGGUAGGGGAGCGUUCCAUACGUCCCUGUUUUUACAGGGCAACGCUGUGAAGGUGGCCCGAAAGGAGCUGCUGGAGCGUAUGGAAGUGAGAAUGCUGACAUGAGUAGCGCAAUCGAGAUGAAAACUCUCGACGCCGAAAAUCUAAGGUUUCCAUAGCAAUGUUAGUCAGCUAUGGGUUAGUCGGUCCUAAGCUGAGGUCGAAAGGCGUAAGCGAUGGACAACAGGUUAAUAUUCCUGUACUACCUGAAUUUAGUGAUGGGGUGACGGAUAGGGUAAAUGCCAGCCUUGAUAGGUCAGGGUGUAAGCAGUAAGUUAGUAUCUCCAGGUAAAUCCGGAGAUAUGUUUCCCGUUCGCGGGAUGAAGGCGAGCUGUUAUACAAAGUUGAACCUUCGGGGGAAACGAUUGGUUAGAGUCCUGUCCCGGGAAAAACCUCUAAGCGUUAUUUAGUUGCCUUCGGGCAAUUAAAUGUUAAGAGUUCAGGUAACCGUACCGCAAACCGACACUGGUAGAUUGGUUGAGUAUACUAAGGCGUACGGGUGAUUCCUUGUUAAGGAACUCGGCAAAUUAACCCUGUAACUUAGGGAUAAAGGGGACCAUGCGCAGCGGUUUUUUAAAUUGCUGAUGAUCAUGGUCGCAGUGAAAUGGCAUGAGCGACUAGUUACCAAAACUACAGGUGCCUGCUAACUCGUAAGAGGAUGUAUAGGUGCUGACACCUGCCCAAUGCCAGAAGGUUAAGGAAGCUCGUUAUCUAUCUUCGGAUAGAGAAGCGGGUGACCGAAGCCCUGGUGAAUGGCGGCUGUAACUAUAACGGUCCUAAGGUAGCGAAAUCCCUCGUCACUUAAUUAGUGACCUGCACGAAAGGUGUAACGACUCAUGCACUGUCUUGACAGGGAGCCCGGCGAAAUUGAAAUGGCUGUGAAGAUGCGGCCUAACCAUACCAGGACAAAAAGACCCCGUGGAGCUUUACUGCAGCUUCAUGUUGGAACAUAAUUUUAACUGUACAGUAUAGGAGGGAGACUUUGAAACUUCGGCGUCAGCUGAGGUGGAGUCGCCAGUGUAAUACCUCUCUGUUGAUGUUGUGUUUCUAAUCUGUUGCCGUUAUCCGGCACGGAGACAGCGUGUGGCAGGCAGUUUGACUGGGGCGGUUGCUUGCUAAAGAGUACCGCAAGCGUACAAAGGUCACCUCAAUCCGGAUGGAAAUCGGAUGAAGAGUGCAUUGGCAUAAGGUGGCUUUACUGUAAGAGGGACACCUCGAGCAGUU